rnacentral:rRNA from 1 species
UUAAUUGAAGAGUUUGAUCAUGGCUCAGAUUGAACGCUGGCGGCAGGCCUAACACAUGCAAGUCGAGCGGAAACGGCAGUAUUGAAGCUUCGGUGGAUUUACUGGACGUCGAGCGGCGGACGGGUGAGUAACGGCUGGGANUUAAUUGAAGAGUUUGAUCAUGGCUCAGAUUGAACGCUGGCGGCAGGCCUAACACAUGCAAGUCGAGCGGAAACGGCAGUAUUGAAGCUUCGGUGGAUUUACUGGACGUCGAGCGGCGGACGGGUGAGUAACGGCUGGGAACCUGCCCUGACGAGGGGGAUAACCGUUGGAAACGACGGCUAAUACCGCAUAAUGUCUACGGACCAAAGGUGGCCUCUACAUGUAAGCUAUCGCGUUGGGAUGGGCCCAGUUAGGAUUAGCUAGUUGGUAAGGUAAUGGCUUACCAAGGCAACGAUCCUUAGCUGGUUUGAGAGGAUGAUCAGCCACACUGGGACUGAGACACGGCCCAGACUCCUACGGGAGGCAGCAGUGGGGAAUAUUGCACAAUGGGGGAGACC